UACAGAGGGUGCAAGCGUUGCUCGGAAUUAUUGGGCGUAAAGGGUAGGUAGGUGGUCUCGUUUGUCUGAGGUGAAAGCCCUGGGCUUAACCUAGGAAGUGCCUCGGAAACGGCGAGACUGGAGUCCUGGAGAGGGUCGUGGAAUUCCCGGUGUAGUGGUGAAAUGCGUAGAUAUCGGGAGGAACACCAGUGGCGAAGGCGGCAUCCUGGCCAUGUCCUGACGCUCAGGGGCGAAAGCGUGGGGAGCAAACCGG
rnacentral:rRNA from 1 species